UGGGGAAUAUUGGACAAUGGGCGCAAGCCUGAUCCAGCCAUGCCGCGUGAGUGAUGAAGGCCCUAGGGUUGUAAAGCUCUUUCACCGGUGAAGAUAAUGAUGGUAACCGGAGAAGAAGCCCCGGCUAACUUCGUGCCAGCAGCCGCGGUAAUACGAAGGGGGCUAGCGUUGUUCGGAUUUACUGGGCGUAAAGCGCACGUAGGCGGACUAUUAAGUCAGGGGUGAAAUCCCGGGGCUCAACCCCGGAACUGCCUUUGAUACUGGUAGUCUUGAGUUCGAGGGAGGUGGGUGGAAUUCCGAGUGUAGAGGUGAAAUUCGUAGAUGUUCGGAGGAACACCAGUGGCGAAGGCGGCUCACUGGCUCGAUACUGACGCUGAGGUGCGAAGGCGGGGGGAGCAAACAGG
rnacentral:rRNA from 1 species